rnacentral:rRNA from 1 species
AGCUCAAAUUUGAAAUCUGGUAGCCUUCGGUUGCCCGAGUUGUAAUCUAGAGAAGUGUUUUCCGUGCCGGCCCAUGUACAAGUCCCUUGGAACAGGGCGUCAUAGAGGGUGAGAAUCCCGUCCUUGACAUGGACCCCCGGUGCUUUGUGAUACACUUUCAACGAGUCGAGUUGUUUGGGAAUGCAGCUCAAAAUGGGUGGUGAAUUCCAUCUAAAGCUAAAUAUUGGCGAGAGACCGAUAGCGAACAAGUACCGUGAGGGAAAGAUGAAAAGCACUUUGGAAAGAGAGUUAAACAGUACGUGAAAUUGUUGAAAGGGAAACGAUUGAAGUCAGUCAUGCUCUUUGGUAUUUAUAUCAUUGAGUGGGGUCAACAUCAGUUUUGAGCGAUGGAUAAAGGCACUAGGAAGGUAGCACUCUCGGGUGAACUUAUAGCCUAGCGUCAUAUACAUUGUUUGGGACUGAGGAACGCAGCAUGCCUUUAUGGCCGGGAUUCGUCCACGUACAUGCUUAGGAUGUUGACAUAAUGGCUUUAAACGACCCGUCUUGAAACACGGACCA